rnacentral:lncRNA from 1 species
AGACCCGUCCGCUAGGCAGGCAGACACCAGGCACGAACCCCAACUGCAGGAAUCUCAAGAGCAGCUCUUUGGAAAGGAGCCAUUAUGAGAACACCGGAGAAGUCCUUGUCAUUUGAGGUGAGAACCUAUCUAUCUGUGCAGUAGACGUAGACGGAAGCCUUUCGUGGCUCCAACCAAAGGAUCACAAGCGUUGCUGGACAGGACAGUACACCAGAGACAGCUUUAAGAUGGUGUCAUACCGUGACUGAUGAAAGUCUGUCGCAGCCGUUUGGUGGAAUACUAAAUAACCGGAAAAAGUA